AACGUAGGACGCAAGCGUUAUCCGGAGUUACUGGGCGUAAAGGGCGUGUAGGCGGUCUUGUAAGUCUGAUGUGAAAGCCCCGGGCUCAACCUGGGAAGUGCAUUGGAAACUGCGAGACUUGAGUACGGGAGAGGGCAGUGGAAUUCCUGGUGUAGGAGUGAAAUCCGUAGAUAUCGGAAGGAACGCCGGUGGCGAAAGCGGCAUGCUGGGUCCCUUCUGACGCUGAGGCGCGAAAGCCAGGGGAGCAAACGGG
rnacentral:rRNA from 1 species